AAGUCGUAACAAGGUCUCCGUUGGUGAACCAGCGGAGGGAUCAUUACCGAGUUUACAACUCCCAAACCCCUGUGAACAUACCAAUUGUUGCCUCGGCGGAUCAGCCCGCUCCCGGUAAAACGGGACGGCCCGCCAGAGGACCCCUAAACCCUGUUUCUAUAUGUAACUUCUGAGUAAAACCAUAAAUAAAUCAAAACUUUCAACAACGGAUCUCUUGGUUCUG
rnacentral:misc_RNA from 1 species